rnacentral:ncRNA from 2 species
GGUACGUACGGCGACUGGCGCACGGGGAAGCGACCCCGGGGAAGCCGUGCGUGACAUGCGCACGAGGUGCCGCCCGCCUGGGCACCCCGG